CAGACGAACGCUGGCGGCGUGCUUAACACAUGCAAGUUCGAACGAUGAACCUCCUUCGGGAGGGGAUUAGUGGCGAACGGGUGAGUAACACGUGGGCAAUCUGCCCUUCACUCUGGGACAAGCCCUGGAAACGGGGUCUAAUACCGGAUAACACUGCGGAUCGCAUGGUCUGCGGUUGAAAGCUCCGGCGGUGAAGGAUGAGCCCGCGGCCUAUCAGCUUGUUGGUGGGGUGAUGGCCUACCAAGGCGACGACGGGUAGCCGGCCUGAGAGGGCGACCGGCCACACUGGGACUGAGACACGGCCCAGACUCCUACGGGAGGCAGCAGUGGGGAAUAUUGCACAAUGGGCGAAAGCCUGAUGCAGCGACGCCGCGUGAGGGAUGACGGCCUUCGGGUUGUAAACCUCUUUCAGCAGGGAAGAAGCGAAAGUGACGGUACCUGCAGAAGAAGCGCCGGCUAACUACGUGCCAGCAGCCGCGGUAAUACGUAGGGCGCAAGCGUUGUCCGGAAUUAUUGGGCGUAAAGAGCUCGUAGGCGGCUUGUCGCGUCGGAUGUGAAAGCCCGGGGCUUAACCCCGGGUCUGCAUUCGAUACGGGCAGGCUAGAGUGUGGUAGGGGAGAUCGGAAUUCCUGGUGUAGCGGUGAAAUGCGCAGAUAUCAGGAGGAACACCGGUGGCGAAGGCGGAUCUCUGGGCCAUUACUGACGCUGAGGAGCGAAAGCGUGGGGAGCGAACAGGAUUAGAUACCCUGGUAGUCCACGCCGUAAACGUUGGGAACUAGGUGUUGGCGACAUUCCACGUCGUC
rnacentral:rRNA from 1 species